rnacentral:lncRNA from 1 species
AGGGGGGAUGGGCGGGGAGGGCCCGGUCCCUCUCGCCGUCCCCCGGCCCGCCCGGGAAGAGGAUGGCGGGAUCCUGCAAUCGAGGGCACCGAGGCGGGGAGACCCUCCCAGGUGCCAGCUCCCGGGAGCCCCCUCCCCCACGCGCCGGCUAGGGGUUGAGCCCAGCCACCCUCUGAGGCUUCCGCAGCGGGUCCCGCAGGCCACGCCCCACGUGACGUCACCCGUGUGGUCACACCCCUCCCGUAGAGCGCCACCUGGCCCGGGUAAGGUGCCCUAGGCAGGGGCAGGAACUUGGGAAAUCCUGUGAGACAUUUACAAAUGGGUAAACUGAGGCCUGGAGGCGGGUUAUAAAUCUCGGCAAUAGCCCCCCUGCCUGAAGCCCCAGAACCCCAGUUGUGCUUGGGUGCGAGGUGUGAGUGUAAAACCAACAAUCCUCAGGGCUGACUGGGGAGGACAUCACCUAGCCUUUGUCCAUGUCGGGUCUCCUGCCCGCAUGGCGGCUGACCUCCCUUACCUCAUUCUUCUAGGCCAUUCUCUGACGUUAAUUCUUGUCUGAAGAAUUGAGUAAUCCUCUCCCCUUCGACCCUACCCUGGGAGAUCUUGAAUCCUGAUCCACCUAGGUUAUAAUUAUUUUUCUGUGUAUCUCCUCGGGCUGCCAGCGGACAUGUCCUUCUCUCUAAGUCACAGGCUUCCCACGGGUGAAAUGGGAGGGGUGGCACUUCGGGUGCCCCCUGCACUAGUCAGCCAACUUUUUCUACAAGGGUCCAAAUAGUAAAUAUUUUAGGCAUAUUACACAUAGGGUCUCUUUUGCAUGUUCUUGGUUUUUUAAUCCUUUAAAAAUGUAAAAACCAUUCUUAGAUGUACACAAGGAGCCUGAUCGAGGAUCUUGAUGGCAGCAAGGAGGCGAGAACAAGAAAUUGGAAAUAACCUGAAUGCCUAUCAAGAGGAGGAUGGAUAGUGAAACCAUUGUGCAUCCCUUGUCUGAAGUGCUGGGCAGCAGCUAAAAAAAUGAGGUGUGUAAAUGGCACGAAAGAGGUCUCCAACAUAUUAUUGAGUGAAAAAAACAAAUUGCCAAAUGAUAAGUAGGGUAUGACAAAAAUGAAGGAAACACCUUAAGGGACCACAUACGUGUGUGUACAUGAAGAGUAAAAGGUCUGGAAAAAUUUACUCCAAACUCACCACAGUGCUGACCAAUAGGAUAAAGAAUAGGGCUGUGGGCAAUUCGAUUUCAAAUAAAGA